GACGAAGGAUGCAAGCGUUAUCCGGAUUCAUUGGGUUUAAAGGGAGCAUAGGCGGAUUUGUAAGUUCAGUGGUGAAAUCUCCGGGCUCAACCCGGAAACUGCCAUUGAUACUGCAGGUCUAGAGUACAGUUGCCGUUGGCGGAAUAUGACAUGUAGUGGUGAAAUACUUAGAUAUGUCAUAGAACACCGAUUGCGAAGGCAGCUAACGAAGCUGUAACUGACGCUGAGGCUCGAAAGUGCGGGGAUCAAACAGG
rnacentral:rRNA from 1 species